AUAAUCAUUAGUCUUUUAAUUAAGGUCUAGAAUGAAGGAUUGAACGAAGUAAAAUCUGUCUCAUUUUAAUUAAUAUUAAAAUUUAAUAUUUAAGUCAAAAAGCUUAAAUAAAUUUAAAAGACGAGAAGACCCUAUAGAAUUUUAUAAUUUAAAUUAAAUAAUUUUUUAAAGUAUUAUUGAUUUUAUAUAAUUUACAUUAUUUUAUUGGGGUGAUAAAAAGAUAAAAGUAACUCUUUAAUAAUAUUAUUCAUAAAUUAAUGAUUUAUUAAUAGAUCCUAUAUUAUAGAUUAUUAAAAUAAAUUACCUUAGGGAUAACAGCGUAAUUUUUUUUUAAAGUUCAUAUUAAUAAAUUAGAUUAC
rnacentral:rRNA from 1 species